rnacentral:rRNA from 1 species
AGGGAAUCUUCCACAAUGGACGAAAGUCUGAUGGAGCAACGCCGCGUGAGUGAUGAAGGGUUUCGGCUCGUAAAACUCUGUUGUUGGAGAAGAACAGGUGUGAGAGUAACUGUUCACAUCUUGACGGUAUCCAACCAGAAAGCCACGGCUAACUACGUGCCAGCAGCCGCGGUAAUACGUAGGUGGCAAGCGUUGUCCGGAUUUAUUGGGCGUAAAGCGAGCGCAGGCGGUUUUCUUAGGUCUGAUGUGAAAGCCUUCGGCUUAACCGGAGAAGUGCAUCGGAAACCAGGAGACUUGAGUACAGAAGAGGACAGUGGAACUCCAUGUGUAGCGGUGAAAUGCGUAGAUAUAUGGAAGAACACCAGUGGCGAAGGCGGCUGUCUGGUCUGUAACUGACGCUGAGGCUCGAAAGCAUGGGUAGCGAACAGGAUUAGAUACCCUGGUAGCCCAUGCCGUAAACGAUGAGUGCUAAGUGUUGGAGGGUUUCCGCCCUUCAGUGCUGCAGCUAACGCA